UCCUACGGGGGGCAGCAGUGGGGGAUAUUGCCCAAUGGGGGGAACCCUGAUGCAGCGACGCCGCGUGGGUGAAGGAGCGUUUCGGCGCGUAAAGCCCUAUCGGCAGGGAAGAAGGGGGACGGUACCUGACUAAGAAGCCCCGGCUAACUACGUGCCAGCAGCCGCGGUAAUACGUAGGGGGCAAGCGUUAUCCGGAUUUACUGGGGGUAAAGGGGGCGCAGACGGCAGCGCAAGCCAGGAGUGAAAGCCCCGGGCCCAACCCCGGGAAUGCUCUUGGAACUGCGCGGCUGGAG
rnacentral:rRNA from 1 species